UACGUAGGAUGCAAGCGUUAUCCGGAAUUAUUGGGCGUAAAGCGUGUGUAGGCUUCUGCGUAAGUUUCUCGUUAAAGCCCGGGGCUCAACUCCGGAAUCGUGAGAAAGACUGCGCGGAUGGAGGUACGGAGAGGCAGAUGGAAUUCCUAGUGUAGCAGUGAAAUGCGUAGAUAUUAGGAAGAACACCAAUGGCGAAGGCAGUCUGCUGGCCGUAAUCUGACGCUGGAGAACACGAAAGCGUGGGGAGCGAACGGG
rnacentral:rRNA from 1 species